rnacentral:snRNA from 1 species
AUACUUACCUAGCAGGGGAGAUACCAUGAUCAUGCAGGUGGUUUUCCCAGGGCAAGGCUUAUCCAUUGCACUCUGGAUGUGCUGACCCCUGUGAUUUCUCCAAAUGUGGGAAACUCGAUUGCAUAAUUUGUGGCAGUGGGGGAUUGAAUUCGUGCUUUCUCCUG